GAUGAACGCUGGCGGCGUGCCUAAUACAUGCAAGUCGAGCGAACGGACGAGAAGCUUGCUUCUCUGAUGUUAGCGGCGGACGGGUGAGUAACACGUGGAUAACCUACCUAUAAGACUGGGAUAACUUCGGGAAACCGGAGCUAAUACCGGAUAAUAUUUUGAACCGCAUGGUUCAAAAGUGAAAGACGGUCUUGCUGUCACUUAUAGAUGGAUCCGCGCUGCAUUAGCUAGUUGGUAAGGUAACGGCUUACCAAGGCAACGAUGCAUAGCCGACCUGAGAGGGUGAUCGGCCACACUGGAACUGAGACACGGUCCAGACUCCUACGGGAGGCAGCAGUAGGGAAUCUUCCACAAUGGGCGAAAGCCUGACGGAGCAACGCCGCGUGAGUGAUGAAGGUCUUCGGAUCGUAAAACUCUGUUAUUAGGGAAGAACAUAUGUGUAAGUAACUGUGCACGUCUUGACGGUACCUAAUCAGAAAGCCACGGCUAACUACGUG
rnacentral:rRNA from 1 species